AUUGAACGCUGGCGGCAGGCCUAACACAUGCAAGUCGAGCGGAUGAAGGGAGCUUGCUCCUGGAUUCAGCGGCGGACGGGUGAGUAAUGCCUAGGAAUCUGCCUGGUAGUGGGGGAUAACGUCCUGAAACGUGCGCUAAUACCUCAUACGUCCUGAGGGAGAAAGUGGGGGAUCUUCGGACCUCACGCUAUCAGAUUAGCCUAGGUCGGAUUAGCUAGUUGGUGGGGUAAAGGCCUACCAAGGCGACGAUCCGUAACUGGUCUGAGAGGAUGAUCAGUCACACUGGAACUGAGACACGGUACAGACUCAUACGGGAGGCAGCAGUGGGGAAUAUUGGACAAUGGGCGAAAGCCUGAUCAAGCCAUGCCGCGUGUGUGAAGAAGGUAUUCGGAUUGUAAAGCACAUUAAGUUGGGAGGAAGGGCAGUAAGAUAAUACCUUGAUGUUUUGACGUUACCAACAGAAUAAGCAACGGCUAACUUCGUG
rnacentral:rRNA from 1 species